UAACGAAAUCAAUAAUGAAAUUUUGCUUGGAAAUGGUUCAAGAAUCUUUACACUGGAAAAGAAGCAAUGUUGCGGUAGAAGAGGCCCGCCAUCCAAAUCCCGAUCAAUUUCCACUUGUCACAUGGGAAAACGUUUGUCAAGCUGUUUUGCUGCUAUUUGUUUCCACGGUGCUAACUCAGCACUCUCAAGGCUUGGCUAGUCUCCGUGGUGUCACCAGCCCUUGCUGUAUGAUACGAUGCGUGAAGCCCAAACAGGAAGUAGUACACCAGCAACCCUAUUGUCCGUAUCUCAGACCUCACGUAUGACCGCCCGUCGAUCGAGCCCAGCAGGAAAACGUUCACUGCAAUGGAAGCUGACAGCAGCCAUGGCACCAAUGGUAUCCCCCAUAGCCUCGGCUUCCUCGCCUCCUUCACACAGCUUCAUCCCCGUGGUUGUGGCAAACCAAAUGGGCAAUGUCAACGCAUACAUUGCUCACCCUCCCUGGCUGAUACCCCAGUAGACUGCUGUCACCGCCGACGAGACUAUAAUCAUCGCCAAGAACCCAAUGAGCUUUUCCCGUUCCGACUCUGAGGUCUCGCCUGACAUGACUAUAAAUACGAUGAUCAAGAGGUGGAGGAGGGUGGCGACGGAGUUGAAACGGGAGGAGGACUUCGUGCCGACGACGGAGAGGGCGGGGACGGCGAUGCUGAUGAGGACCGCCAUCAGGUCGAGGUGGUUGUAGUCCUCGGCGAGCCUCGGCGCUACGAUGCGGAAGAAGUCCGGCUUCUGGUUGAAGAGAGUGGCGAGCUAUGGUAUGACCCAAGACCGCCCCACCGCAGUGCCGCUGACGAUGUACUCGAAGAGGAUGCUGCCAGCCACCAUAAACUCCGCGAAGUCUCCAAGCUUGACUCGCAGGAGAAGAUAGCAAUGGAUGGUGACCUUGUGAGAUCCCGAUCAAGAAUCAAUUGAUAAAGUAAUCGAUGUGAAUAUUCCUAAUUGAUGGCUUGUGAGAGAAUUUAAAGAUUUGAGAUUGAGACAAAACUCUUCUUUUAGCCAUGGAUGUAAUAAUUACCACUUAUUUCACUGUGGCUAUCGCUUUGCACUGCAAGGUUGUAUUCACAAUCAUGGCUAACUCCAUCUUCCAACUCGUUAUUGAGCAUUUUGA